UUAUGGUCUCACAGCUUGUUACACAGCUUGUAGGAUAGCCGUCACAAAACGGUUUUUUUUACUACCUAAGCUGGUAGCCUUAUGCGGUUAGAGGUUAUGCUAACGUAGCCGAGCGAGGUGAGCUCACGGGGUUCUAACCAGAGGACGCAGCUAACACUAGCCCUAGCAACAGCAGUGCUUCGCAGAAUCUACCACUGUAUCGGUAAGCGACCCAUUGGAAGAUCCCGGCGAGAAACUCAGUGGGCUGCGUCUAUGGGUUGAUUUAUUCGCCGAACCCUUCAUCGCACGCGACGGGUUCGACGAGUACCAUCCGGGCAGCGUAUUUCCAUUUCCGUGUUCAUUAGAAUCAGGACGACCAGCCAAGUCAGAAACUGUGAAAAGAAAACGUGUUCAUAAUAUUGCAUCUAAUAUUGAUGAUAAUGAGCCUCCUGCCAAAAAACAUUAAUUUUAUAAAAUUACUUAAUUAUAUUUGUAUAAGUACCUACGUUGAUUGCCUGCAAUACAAUACCAUACUCAUACAUCUUUGAAUAUAGAUAUAUUUUGGUCCUAAUAAAAGGUUAAAGACUGUUUGAGUUUUCUUGUCCAUUCAUUAAACACAAAAGUGCCUUCGAACAAACACGGAUUUGUGGCGCUUAAUCAAGGCGCAUACUCCUUGCAAACCCGUGCGCGAUUGGAGGAAACGUGCCUUGAAUUGAACACGAUUUUGUAAAGGGAGUUAGCGCGACAAACCCGUGCGUGUUUCAAGGCAGUACCGCCUCCUAAUGAACACGGAAAUGGAAAUACGCAUCCGGGCAGCCUGACAAGCCGCUGUAUCGCGAAGAUCGGUGUCGUUGGUCGUUGAUGAUGGUCUUGACGACCCGUCAGUCGGGUGUCUUCAGAGCGGCGCCACAGGUCUGCUUGCAAUGUUGACUAUGAGAACGAACCUACUUUACCCAGGUUGUUAUCCAGGGCGGAAAUCGGAUGUGGUGAGAGUGCAAUGGGAGUCGUUUGGCAAGUAGGGUCAACAUCUAGUAGACCGUCAACCUCCACAUACACUGCGUGCCACCAAGGCACAGAUACCUCGUAAGAGGUUCGGCCCCCUGCCCGAAUAUAGUUCACGCGCUACAUCGGCAGUCAGACAAUAGCGCGACGGCCACAAUGGUUGGGGGUUCUCAACCAACAGCUCAAACAUUACGAGCGCUUUGAGUUGCCUUAUGUUUAUUUGGGCACAUUGCCACUAAUGAAUUUCCUGAUCUAGAUUCCCCACUUAACCUUAAUAUAGCAAAAUCUAUAGAUAAUUUAGCAUCUUAAAAUUUUGAACUAUAGACAAUUCAAGUAAAAGCCAUACACUAUUUGAACAUAAUUUUUAUUUAAAAAAUAUUAGAAGAAAGAAUAAGCCAGGUUAUGCAACACAUACUAAACAUUAUAAUUUUUUUGGAACAAAGCAUAUAUUAUUUUUCCUGUUCAUAUAUUAAAUAAUUUAAAGAUACAUGAAAUAAAAACAUGACAUGUAGUAUUUUUUUGUAUUUUAAUAUUUUGAACUAAAUUUCAAACACUACCAACCACCAUUUUUUUUUGUGUAAAUCCAAUCAAUGAUUUUCAAAUAUUUAAUAAUGCAACAUGUACUAUACAAUGCGAGUUUAUUAAUUUUAAUUUGGAACAGAUAAUGCUAAUGUUUAAAAUAUUGAUUUUAAAAUUAUUUUACUCAACUGUAAAAAAAAUUAGGGAGAGAGGUAAUAAAAUAAGUCCUUUUGCACUCCAACCUAGUAUUUCACAUGAUACACCAGUAUUGCAGUGUAUGUAUGUGUCCAAUAAAAAGGAUUUAAUUAUCAUUAUAAACUUAUGAUGGAAUUUAAUAAUAUUCGAAUUGCCCUGAAUGAAUGAAUAAACAAUUACUAUUAAUAUACAUAUUGUAGCAGUAUUAGUAGAAAUAUAGCCAGGAAUAGAGUGCAAAGAUUGCACAAAACUAGGCAGCACGUUGCAUGCCAGUGGCAAAAAGCACUUUUUGUUUGGACUUUUUGUUCUUCUUAGUUGAGGGCACCGGUGCAGCGUGUAAGGCUGCCUCGAUUGCGUCGCUAAGGUUGAGCGCACGUGGGCCCGUGCCUUCCUCGUCAGGCGGCGGCGGUGGCGGUGGAGCUGAGACAGUUGGCCGAACGCGCCAUGUGCCACUGCUACCAGCCAUCU